UACGUAGGGUGCAAGCGUUGUCCGGAAUUAUUGGGCGUAAAGAGCUCGUAGGCGGUCUGUCACGUCGGCUGUGAAAACCCGAGGCUCAACCUCGGGCCUGCAGUCGAUACGGGCAAACUAGAGUACUGCAGGGGAGACUGGAAUUCCUGGUGUAGCGGUGAAAUGCGCAGAUAUCAGGAGGAACACCGGUGGCGAAGGCGGGUCUCUGGGCCGCAACUGACGCUGAGGAGCGAAAGCAUGGGGAGCGAACAGG
rnacentral:rRNA from 1 species